rnacentral:tRNA from 1 species
GCUCUCGUGGUGAAAUGGAUAUCAUAGCUGCCUUCGAAGCAGUUGUUGGGGGUUCGAGUCCCUCCGAGAGCA